ensembl:lncRNA
AUGAGGUCGUGCUUGUGGAUUUUCGUCCUUGGGAGUUUAAUCGUGACUGGAGUCAAGAUGCAAGAUUCUCCAGCAGAUGACCUUGCGCCAGAGGAAUCAGCCGUUCCUGAUGAAGCUGCAGAUGCUGAAAAACCAGCUGAAGAUCCUGCACCUGAAGAAACACCAGAGGAAACACCUGAAGAAACACCUGAGGAAACACCCGAGGAAACAGCAGAAAAGGCAGCAGCUCCUGCAGAGCCUGAAGCUGAAGACACAAACCCUGACACAGACGCCGCGGCAGAAGAUGCUAAAGAAACACCAGCAGGUGAUCUGAUCUAAACAUAAAGACAUUACACUCCACAAACAACACACAACACCCAGAAUACAGAUUCAAAACAGCCACAGAAACCUGACAGAUCAGGACAUUUUAAAAAAGGAGUUUCUGUCAGAGAACAUGUCCUCAGCCCUGAAAUAUUUCAUAGCCAGAAGCUGCUCUUUCUGAAUGCAAUCUUUAAUCAAAUGAUUUCAAAAAUCCUUCAAAUAUCCUGUAACCAUGAAGGCCUGGAAAAGUCAUAGAAAUUCAUCGGUCGGUGGGCUGGGAAGCCUGUAAUAAUCGUGUGGUUUGGACUAUGACGUAUUUUCCUCUCUAUUGCCGUUUCGCUGAAAAAACAGACGCAGAAGAUCAGACAUGCUGGUCUGGCAACUAAAUGAGUUCAAGUUUAAAUACUAAAAUUACUAACUGGAAAUAAAAUAACUAAAAAUAUUAAAAAUCA